AAAUUGAAGAGUUUGAUCAUGGCUCAGAUUGAACGCUGGCGGCAGGCCUAACACAUGCAAGUCGAGCGGUAGCACAGAGAGCUUGCUCUCGGGUGACGAGCGGCGGACGGGUGAGUAAUGUCUGGGAAACUGCCUGAUGGAGGGGGAUAACUACUGGAAACGGUAGCUAAUACCGCAUAAUGUCGCAAGACCAAAGUGGGGGACCUUCGGGCCUCAUGCCAUCAGAUGUGCCCAGAUGGGAUUAGCUAGUAGGUGGGGUAACGGCUCACCUAGGCGACGAUCCCUAGCUGGUCUGAGAGGAUGACCAGCCACACUGGAACUGAGACACGGUCCAGACUCCUACGGGAGGCAGCAGUGGGGAAUAUUGCACAAUGGGCGCAAGCCUGAUGCAGCCAUGCCGCGUGUGUGAAGAAGGCCUUCGGGUUGUAAAGCACUUUCAGCGGGGAGGAAGGCGGUGAGGUUAAUAACCUCAUCGAUUGACGUUACCCGCAGAAGAAGCACCGGCUAACUCCGUGCCAGCAGCCGCGGUAAUACGGAGGGUGCAAGCGUUAAUCGGAAUUACUGGGCGUAAAGCGCACGCAGGCGGUCUGUCAAGUCGGAUGUGAAAUCCCCGGGCUCAACCUGGGAACUGCAUUCGAAACUGGCAGGCUAGAGUCUUGUAGAGGGGGGUAGAAUUCCAGGUGUAGCGGUGAAAUGCGUAGAGAUCUGGAGGAAUACCGGUGGCGAAGGCGGCCCCCUGGACAAAGACUGACGCUCAGGUGCGAAAGCGUGGGGAGCAAACAGGAUUAGAUACCCUGGUAGUCCACGCCGUAAACGAUGUCGAUUUGGAGGUUGUGCCCUUGAGGCGUGGCUUCCGGAGCUAACGCGUUAAAUCGACCGCCUGGGGAGUACGGCCGCAAGGUUAAAACUCAAAUGAAUUGACGGGGCCCGCACAAGCGGUGGAGCAUGUGGUUUAAUUCGAUGCAACGCGAAGAACCUUACCUGGUCUUGACAUCCACAGAACUUUCCAGAGAUGGAUUGGUGCCUUCGGGAACUGUGAGACAGGUGCUGCAUGGCUGUCGUCAGCUCGUGUUGUGAAAUGUUGGGUUAAGUCCCGCAACGAGCGCAACCCUUAUCCUUUGUUGCCAGCGGUCCGGCCGGGAACUCAAAGGAGACUGCCAGUGAUAAACUGGAGGAAGGUGGGGAUGACGUCAAGUCAUCAUGGCCCUUACGACCAGGGCUACACACGUGCUACAAUGGCAUAUACAAAGAGAAGCGACCUCGCGAGAGCAAGCGGACCUCAUAAAGUAUGUCGUAGUCCGGAUUGGAGUCUGCAACUCGACUCCAUGAAGUCGGAAUCGCUAGUAAUCGUAGAUCAGAAUGCUACGGUGAAUACGUUCCCGGGCCUUGUACACACCGCCCGUCACACCAUGGGAGUGGGUUGCAAAAGAAGUAGGUAGCUUAACCUUCGGGAGGGCGCUUACCACUUUGUGAUUCAUGACUGGGGUGAAGUCGUAACAAGGUAACCGUAGGGGAACCUGCGGUUGGAUCACCUCCUUACCUUAAAGAA
rnacentral:rRNA from 1 species